GUCGAACGGUAACAGGAAGCAGCUUGCUGCUUCGCUGACGAGUGGCGGACGGGUGAGUAAUGUCUGGGAAACUGCCUGAUGGAGGGGGAUAACUACUGGAAACGGUAGCUAAUACCGCAUAACGUCGCAAGACCAAAGAGGGGGACCUUCGGGCCUCUUGCCAUCGGAUGUGCCCAGAUGGGAUUAGCUAGUAGGUGGGGUAACGGCUCACCUAGGCGACGAUCCCUAGCUGGUCUGAGAGGAUGACCAGCCACACUGGAACUGAGACACGGUCCAGACUCCUACGGGAGGCAGCAGUGGGGAAUAUUGCACAAUGGGCGCAAGCCUGAUGCAGCCAUGCCGCGUGUAUGAAGAAGGCCUUCGGGUUGUAAAGUACUUUCAGCGGGGAGGAAGGCGAUAAGGUUAAUAACCUUGUCGAUUGACGUUACCCGCAGAAGAAGCACCGGCUAACUCCGUGCCAGCAGCCGCGGUAAUACGGAGGGUGCAAGCGUUAAUCGGAAUUACUGGGCGUAAAGCGCACGCAGGCGGUCUGUCAAGUCGGAUGUGAAAUCCCCGGGCUCAACCUGGGAACUGCAUUCGAAACUGGCAGGCUAGAGUCUUGUAGAGGGGGGUAGAAUUCCAGGUGUAGCGGUGAAAUGCGUAGAGAUCUGGAGGAAUACCGGUGGCGAAGGCGGCCCCCUGGACAAAGACUGACGCUCA
rnacentral:rRNA from 1 species